rnacentral:rRNA from 1 species
UACGUAGGGUGCGAGCGUUAAUCGGAAUUACUGGGCGUAAAGUGUGCGCAGGCGGUCGUUCAAGUCGCGUGUGAAAGCCCCCGGCUCAACUGGGGAGGGUCACGCGAUACUGAUCGACUCGAAGGCAGGAGAGGGUAGUGGAAUUUCCGGUGUAGCGGUGAGAUGCGUAGAUAUCGGAAGGAACACCUGUGGCGAAAGCGGCUCACUGGACCAUUACUGACGCUGAUGCACGAAAGCUAGGGAGCAAACAGG